GAUGAACGCUGGCGGCGUGCCUAAUACAUGCAAGUAGAACGCUGAAGGAAGGAGCUUGCUCUUUCCGGAUGAGUUGCGAACGGGUGAGUAACGCGUAGGUAACCUGCCUGGUAGCGGGGGAUAACUAUUGGAAACGAUAGCUAAUACCGCAUAACAGUAGAUGUUGCAUGAUAUCUACUUAAAAGGUGCAAUUGCAGCACUACCAGAUGGACCUGCGUUGUAUUAGCUAGUUGGUGAGGUAACGGCUCACCAAGGCGACGAUAGGUAGACGGCCUGAGAGGGUGACGGGAAACAGGGGGAGUGGGAGAGGGCCAAGAGUCGUAGGGGAGGAAGCAGUGGGGAAAGUUGCACAAUGGGGGGAAGCAUGAUGAAGGAACGCCGGGUGGGGGAUGAGGGAGUUGGGGUGGUAAACAGCUUUCGCCUGGGAAGAAGCGGGAGUGACGGUAAUGGGUAAAGAAGCACCGGCUAACUACGUG
rnacentral:rRNA from 1 species